UACGUAGGGUGCAAGCGUUAAUCGGAAUUACUGGGCGUAAAGCGUGCGCAGGCGGUUGUGCAAGACAGAUGUGAAAUCCCCGGGCUCAACCUGGGAAUUGCAUUUGUGACUGUACGGCUAGAGUGUGUCAGAGGGGGGGUAGAAUUCCACGUGUAGCAGUGAAAUGCGUAGAGAUGUGGAGGAAUACCGAUGGCGAAGGCAGCCCCCUGGGAUAACACUGACGCUCAUGCACGAAAGCGUGGGGGAGCAAAACAGG
rnacentral:rRNA from 1 species